ensembl:lncRNA
GUCACAUUUUGGUGUCCUUCUCCCUUUUCUCCCCCCCAAAAAAGAGACUACACAUUUCUUCAUUAAUUUAUCAUUUAAUAUAAAUGCUGACAGAAAGCAGAUAAGAUCUUGAAGACACUUUCAUAUAUUUACAAACUAAAAGGUGAAUCACCUCCCUUCUAUUCUUAAAAUAGAUUCUCUUAUCUGCAACUCAUAUAGGAGCCUUAAACACUAGAAGCAACAUGAGGCUGAGUCAGUUUCAAAGGUAAUGGAGAGAAGGAAGAAGAGUGGCAUUUUCUUUAUGAACAACAUGCACACUAUUUCCCCCUCACAUAAACUUGGAAAAAAAAUUGGCUCUAUACCUUUGAAAAAACUUCUAACAAAUGAAAUAUGGUACUUUUUGAGAUCUAUAGUUAGUUGCUGCUUGCUGUCAUAACUACUGUUUCUUCCUUCUAAAAUGUUUAGAAGGCUUUUUCAAAAAGUAGACAUAAAUGGAAUAGAGGAAAGAGAAAAAAAAAAAAUCCAUUUUAAAUAGUACUUUUCUUUGUCCUAUUCCAAAAGGAGAGUCAUAACAUUCACUUUCACAUUUCACAGUUUUCCCACAUUUUAAUGGAUUUAAAGAAAGGUUCACAGAUUACAAAUUUCACUCACAAAUUCCAGUUACACUAAUUUGGGGGAGGGAGGGAGAAGGGGUUUUGAAACAUGAGAAGAAAUAUAAUCAAAAUUUUAAAAAUUUAGCAAUUUUUCAAUCAGUUGCUGCUAUAAGGCAUAAUCAAACUUUUUUUCUUUUUCAAAGAGAUAUUUUAGGAAAAGAAUUAGGAACUGAGGCAUAGGAAUAAGGAGCAAGGAGAAAUUGUGUUACAACAAAAAUUAACAAAUGAUAUUUUAACAUUGAUUUAGAACAGCAGAUAUGAAUGUUCACUUAUCCAAAAUUGCUAAGUGAUUAGAUAGAAUCGAAGUCAUUUAUAACCUGACUCAAAUCUCAUGGUCUCCUUUAUGAACCUAGACUAUUUAUUUUUGCUUUGUUAAAUAUACCUCUGCAGGGCACAAUCACAUACAAUCAAUACGAUUGGUAAAUUACACGAGCUCUAACCCAAGCAUAUAUGCACCAAUGUUAAAAAGUUACUUUUUUUUUUUUUUUUAAACCAUAACAUAAAAAAUAAAAUAAAUUCCACCCAAAAAGGUGAUAAUGACUGCAGAAUGUCUCGGGAGACUGGUAUGAGCCUAAAAACCAAAUAACCAUAGACAGAUAAAGGGAAAAGGAGGAAAGAAACCAUACAUACUAUGAAGGAACCUCACAGCUGCAAAGUUGCUUAGGGAAUUCAGAAAAUUUCUCCCAUGACAUCUUAAAGAGAGAUCUUUCUUCUCUUUUUAUCUUCAAAAAAAACCAAAUCAAACCAAAAGAAAAAAACACAAAACUAUCCAAAAGCAAAACUUGGACCAAUGAAUAACAAAAAGAAAAAAAAAUUUUGAAUAUUUUAAGUUCCAGUUACCAGAAUGGGAAAAAACAGCUUAAAAAUGUUGGCAAUGUUUUUGGGAAAAGAAUAGUCUUUUCCUGGGAGGUUCCUUAGUAGCAUAAAGAAAAAUAUAUGGCAUGCACAAACUAAAAUGAAAAUUCAAAACCACUUAAAUCAGAAAACAAAGGAAUUUUAAAGGAGCUGUUCCGGAUAAUAUUUGAAUUACAGUCAAAUCAAAGCAGAGGGAUCAAGCCAAUCUAUGGUACUACUGAUAGCUACAGGUACCAACUCAUGCCUCACUAUAGGUUUUUUUAGAAUACAAAAUUAGGAAGGGCCACAAGACAGCUUCCAGUUGUAAGAUGACCGAGUUGAUACUGUUUGGAUGCCAAAGACUUAUAAGCUUUGCCUGCUGAGAAGGGGAUUCCCUCUCCUGCCCUCCAACCGGACUGAGACCUCAAUAUAAGAAUUCAGUCAUCAAAUUUUCUAAUAAACAUCAAAUAUCCCACAGGUUUAUCUUUUUCAUUUGAUGCAUUCAUUUCUGUACAUCUGAUAUUUUUGGUAAAAUAUAGCCUCUCCCUCUAGCCCAAAGAAAAUGUUAGUACUCUUAAGUAUUUUCUUCCUUUCUUUUUUUUUUUUUUUUUUUUUGGCUGGGGGCAUGGAAGGACCACAGGGGGGCCAGAAAAGGGGAGAAGUUGAGGAAGGAAGGGAAGGGUAUAUCAGGCUUUUGGUUUGGAAGAAAUUCAUUAUUUGGAUGAAAAUCCAAGGGCAGAUAAUAAUGUGCUAAAAUUCAAAUAACUGUUCAAGAAAAAUUUAGUUUAAUAAUAUAAUACAUAUUACAUAUACAUAUCCCUUGUCUCUUUUCAAAACAGAAUUUCAAAGGGCUGCUAUUCACUUUGCUUAGUAUAGUACACAAAAAUCCUCUUAAUGGGAAAAUAGUUCUUACUCCUGGUAUUUUAAGUGAUAUUUUCCUUACUCUUUAUCACUAAAACAAGAACAUAACAGUCUAAAUGUAGCAUUUAGCAUUCAUUACUAGUGACAGCCAACUAUGGAUCCUAAUAAUCCAAUACAAAUUUCUUUGCUUUUGAGUGAUCACAUAAAAUUUAAGAUGAAGUAUUCAAAGUUAACUGUUAUUUCUUUUUUAAAAAUGCAAAUUUCCCAUUAAAAAUGUUUUUGAAGUAACUAAAAGGCUGUUUUAAGAAUACUUUGUUAAAUCCAAUAUAGCUAAAAAUACAAACUUAAAAGUCUUUUCAGCAGAAUGUACUCAACCAACCAAAGCUGGAAUUAAAAAAACAAAAACAAAAACAAAACCAAAAGCUGCUCUAUUUUUAAAUACAAGAUUAUCUGGGGACACAAAAAUGAUCAUACUGAAAUUUAAUUUAGGUAAUGUCAGAGGAGCAGGAAGGAAUAAAUGAAUGAAGGCAAAUUAAGGAUGGAUAUCAUAGCAAAGUAAUGCUAUAAUAAGAGGCACCGUUUUAUACCCCUGGUAUUCUGCUUACACUGUUCUUCAGUCUGACAGUUCUGCACCAAUAAACCCUUGUGGAUGUGGAUUAAGGACAGAAGUUUGGGGGAAGAGGAAAAGUGGGCCACAUGUACUGCUGCCACUUGGAUUCUUCUUUCAAUGGGAAAAAACAGUCUGAGACAACAGCUCACUACAAAAACCUUAGGGACAGACUGGGCAAUUAUUGUCUAACACAUAAAGAGGUUGGAGGAUUUAAGUUGGGGAAUGUUUAAAUUACUGAUGCAGUGCUCUCACUUUCAACAACAAAAAAAAAUUUUCAGUGGAGCUUUAAAAGAUUUUCUAUGUGGAUUCCCUUAAAAAAAAAAAAAAAAAAGAAAAGAAAAGAGGAGAGGUGACAAAUAGUAUUAACUUCCUUAGAAUAUAUUUUCAAAAAUUACAUGAUCCUUCCUUCUCUAGUAGGGGAUCAGUAACGUUAACUGUAUCCUCUUUGGUAAAAAGGACCUAUGUGCAUAUUAACAACUCCACUUGUUCUUGUAAAAAACUCUCCCAAAUGGAACACAAAUAUACCUUGCUUACUAGGCUGGAUGUCUCUUAACACCAUUUCUAAUCAGUGAUUUGUUCAAUAAUUAAUUUGUCGAGUCCCAUGACUUGAUUACAAUGAUAUUAGCCUCUUUUCCCUUUAUAUACAAAGUUAAAAGAGGCUGAGAGAGUACAAAGAAAUGUAUGACAGGUAUAUGAAAGCAAUAAUGAGUUUCUUAAAACACACUAUUGUAAAAGCUAAGAGACUAAUCAGUUUAAAGAAAUGACUUUUCACUAUCUUUACACUUUAUAAGGCUUUAGCAGUUAACUUUAGACACAUCUGUCCGCACAGUAUUAUGAACUCAUAAACAAUCUAAAUGGUUUCACAAUCAGAAAAGGCUACUAAUUCCCCCAAACCAAAACAGAGUAAAGCACAAGUCUUUGGCUCUCCUUUAAAGAAAAUAGCAGGCUACCAUUCUUAAUCAGACCUUUGUUUGCCUACCAGUAGGGCAAUACCACAUUUGUGCAUCACUGAGUAAUAACACCAUUAGAAAAGGCAACUUCACAGAAGUUAUUGGCUAAGCGAAUUCAUUUGAAUGCUCUGUUUUGAGGCAGCAAGCUGUCACUGUUGCACGAUUGGGGAGGGUGGUGGGUAGCCAAGGGUAUAAGCAGAAUGGAAAAUUGACAAAAAGAAACCAGGUAGCUAAGGAAUUAUUUUGGGGGUUAUUAAGCACAGUGCUGCAAAAUUUGAGAUGUUUUUAGAAUUCCUAUUCUGUAAUGUGAUGGGCUUUAAAUAAAUAAUAAAGUGGCAAGUGAGAAUCAUAUAUAAUUCCUUUCUUCUGGGAAAUAAAUGAAAUGAGGAAGUGUGGGAAAAUACCAAGUAAGGAAUAGAGGAUGGAUAAAGUGAGGAAGAAGAAUCACCCCCACAAUACUCGGUCAAAUAUAUUUCUGCUUCCCUAUUCUCCAGCUUCUCAUCUGGUGCUGGCCUCAGAGACAGGGUUGUGUCUCUGUCAAACAUUUCUCUAAGUGCAGGCUUUGGACAAGCUCUCCCUUUAACCAGGAAGUCACAAGGAAUGAACUCAGACAUUUCAUCAUUUCAUUUUCUUUAAAGGCACAUAAGGAAGGAAAUCUACAGACUGACUGUUCAUAAGUGAUGGAUUGACUCUAAAAAUGUUAAAGUAAAUUGCUUAUUUAAGAAGGGCAAUCAGAUCUAAAAAUCACCUUCCAAAAAACUGUGAAAAAUUCUGAAGGAACAUUCUUAGUUUAACAUCCCCUACCACAAAUUAUCCUAGUGCAAUGCUUUUAAAAUCUUGCCUUUAAACCACUCACCUAUAAUUGCAUCUCUCUAGCUUUUUCUAAAACUGUUGGGGCAAAAAAGCCAUGCUUUAGGUUUUAUGCCAUAAAUUUUACUUUACUGGUACAUGAGUAAGCCAACUUCUCAUUAACCUGACUGCAUAAACAGAAAAAGGAAAUGAAUGUUUUUGAUAGCUCAAAGAAAUAAUAAUUCAGAAAAAAAAAAUCAUUUUUCUAAGGAACUAUGGUGUCAAUCAACAGUUCUUACAGUGGAGGUAUGAUCGUAUUUACAGAGUUUGUCAACUUCCCAGGAAGCUUAAUCACGGGAAGAGAUUAUAAAGUAGUAUUCAGAAGAAUUUAAAUUUUCUAAAAAAGUGUAAAUUUUGUAAACUCUAUUUCUAACCUGACUGGUUUCACUUGCAAACUUUCUCCAAGGAAAUAUGGAAACGACAACCAGAAAUUUAAAACUAAUCCAAGUAAGUAAUGGCGAAAAAAAUCAAUGCCUUUUGCAGAUAUUAACAAAAACUAGUUUGAGAACCAAGUAGAUUAUGUCCAAAGAGGACAUUCACCUGACCAAGUUACUUGCAACAAGGACAAUGUACAAAGUGCAGCAUGAAUA